rnacentral:rRNA from 1 species
AUUGAACGCUGGCGGCAGGCCUAACACAUGCAAGUCGAGCGAGUGGCGGACGGGUGAGUAAUGUAUGGGGAUCUGCCCGAUAGAGGGGGAUAACUACUGGAAACGGUAGCUAAUACCGCAUACUAUCGGAUGUACCCACAAGGGCUUAGCUAGUAGGUGGGGUAAAGGCUCACCUAGGCGACGAUCUCUAGCUGGUCUGAGAGGAUGAGCAGCCACCUUGGGACUGCGACACGGCCCAGACUCCUACGGGAGGCAGCAGUGGGGAAUAUUGCACAAUGGGCGCAAGCCUGAUGCAGCAAUGCCGCGUGUAUGAAGAAGGCCUUAGGGUUGUAAAGUACGUUCAGCGGGGAGGCGUUACCCGCAGAAGAAGCACCGGCUAACUCCGUGCCAGCAGCCGCGGUAAUAC